CCUACGGGAGUCUGCAGUCGAGUAUCAUUCACAAUGGGGGAAACCCUGAUGGUGCGACGCCGCGUGGGGGAAUGAAGGUCUUCGGAUUGUAAACCCCUGUCAUGUGGGAGCAAAUUAAAAAGAUAGUACCACAAGAGGAAGAGACGGCUAACUCUGUGCAAGCAGCCGGGGUAAUACAGAGGUCUCAAGCGUUGUUCGGAAUCACUGGGCGUAAAGCGUGCGUAGGCUGUUUCGUAAGUCGGGUGUGAAAGGGGCGGGCUCAACCCGCGGACUGCACAUGAUACUGGGAGACGAGAGUUAUCGAGGGGGAACCGGAAUUCUCGGUGUAGCAGUGAAAUGCGUAGAUAUCGAGAGGAACACUCGUGGCGAAGGCGAGUUCCUGGACAUUAACUGACGCUGAGGCACGAAGGCCAGGGGAGCGAAAGGGAUUAGAUACCCCAGUAGUC
rnacentral:rRNA from 1 species